rnacentral:rRNA from 1 species
ACUCCUACGGGAGGCAGCAGUGGGGAAUCUUAGACAAUGGGGGAAGCCCAUCGAUCUAGCCAUGCCGCGUGAGCGAUGAAGGCCUUAGGGUUGUAAAGCUCUUUCGCUAGGGGAAGAUAAUGACGGUGACCCAGUAAAGAAGUCCCGGCUAACUCCGUGCCAGCAGCCGCGGUAAUACGGAGGGGACUAGCGUUGUUCGGAAUUACUGGGCGUAAAGCGCGCGUAGGCGGAUCAGAAAGUUGGGGUGAAAUCCCGGGGCUCAACCCCGGAACUGCCUCCAAAACGUCCUC